rnacentral:rRNA from 1 species
CCCUUAGAUGUCCGGGGCCGCACGCGCGCUACACUGAAGGAAUCAGCGUGGCUUUCUCCCUGACCCGAAAGGGUUGGGAAACCCGUUGAAUCUCCUUCGUGAUAGGGAUUGGGGCUUGAAAUUGUUCCCCAUGAACGAGGAAUUCCCAGUAAGCGCGAGUCAUAAGCUCGCGUUGAUUACGUCCCUGCCCUUUGUACACACCGCCCGUCGCUACUACCGAUUGAACGGUUUAGUGAGGGCCUCGGAUCCGCGCUUAAUGUGUGGAGAAUUUGGACAAACUACGUCAUUUAGAGGAAGUAAAAGUCGUAACA